AGAUUAAGUUAUUAAGGGCGCACGGUGGAUGCCUUGGCACUAGAAGCCGAUGAAGGACGUUACUAACGACGAUAUGCUUUGGGGAGCUGUAAGUAAGCUUUGAUCCAGAGAUUUCCGAAUGGGGAAACCCAGCAUGAGUUAUGUCAUGUUAUCGAUAUGUGAAUACAUAGCAUAUCAGAAGGCACACCCGGAGAACUGAAACAUCUUAGUACCCGGAGGAAGAGAAAGAAAAUUCGAUUCCCUUAGUAGCGGCGAGCGAAACGGGAAGAGCCCAAACCAACAAGCUUGCUUGUUGGGGUUGUAGGACACUCUAUACGGAGUUACAAAGGACGACAUUAGACGAAUCAUCUGGAAAGAUGAAUCAAAGAAGGUAAUAAUCCUGUAGUCGAAAAUGUUGUCUCUCUUGAGUGGAUCCUGAGUACGACGGAGCACGUGAAAUUCCGUC
rnacentral:rRNA from 1 species